rnacentral:rRNA from 1 species
UACGUAGGGUGCAAGCGUUAAUCGGAAUUACUGGGCGUAAAGCGUGCGCAGGCGGUUUUGUAAGUCAGAUGUGAAAUCCCCGGGCUUAACCCUGGACCGGCAUUGAAGCACUCACGGACUUGAGUACGGUAGAGGCAGAGGGAAUUCCCGGUGUAGCGGUGGAAUGCGUAGAGAUCGGGAAGAACAUCAGUGGCGAAGGCGGCCUGCUGGGCUGUUGCUGACGCUGAGGCGCGACAGCGUGGGGAGCAAACAGG